rnacentral:rRNA from 1 species
GCCGUACCAUGCUGAAUAUACCGGUUCUCUUUAGAUCACCGAAGUUAAGCAUCAUUGGGCGCGGUCAGUACUUGGGUGGGUGACCACCUGGGAACACUGCGUGCCGUU